rnacentral:misc_RNA from 1 species
GAUGAAGAACGUAGCGAAAUGCGAUAAGUAAUGCGAAUUGCAGAAUUUCCGUGAGUCAUCGAAUCUUUGAACGCACAUUGCGCCCGCCAGUAUUCUGGCGGGCAUGCCUGUUCGAGCGUCAUUACAACCCUCAGGCCCCCGGGCCUGGCGUUGGGGAUCGGCGGAAGCCCCCUGCGGGCACAACGCCGUCCCCCAAAUACAGUGGCGGUACCGCCGCAGCUUCCAUUGCGUAGUAGCUAACACCUCGCAACUGGAGAGCGGCGCGGCCACGCCGUAAAACACCCAACUUCUGAAUGUUGACCUCGAAUCAGGUAGGAAUACCCGCUGAACUUAAGCAUAUCAAUAAGCGGAGGA